AAAGAAUUUCGGAAGUGGAUCAUUAGUUCUGGAGAUUGCCUCCUACAUACAAACUUACAAUUUUUACGUCUUUAUAAUAUGUAAUGAAGUGAACU